AUGUCUUUCUUUACCCUCUGGCUCUUUCUUCUUUCUUUCACUCUCUUAGUCUUUUUCCCUUUGUCUUCCUCCCUAUCCCUUUUCUAUCCCUGUGUCACUCUCAUUCUUUCUCCUCCGUCUCAAUAUUCUUCUUCCUCUUUCUGUCUCCCAAUCUUUUUUCUAUUUCAUCUUUUCUCUUCCUUUUUCUCUCUCCCCGACUCUUUUUCUCUGUCUUUCUUAGCCAUUCCUCCCACUUUAUUUCUUGAUCUAUUCGGGGCUCUCCUUUUCUUUCUCUGUCUCAUUCUGAUUCAUUUUUCCUCUCUAUUUCUCUCAUUCCUACUCUCUACCUUUCACUAUUUCUCUUACUCUCUUUCUUUCUCUCUCUGUUUCAGUGUCUCCCAUUCUCUUUUCUCCCUGACACUCUCUCUCACAUUCUGUUUCUCUCUCCCACAUUUUCCUUUUUUCUCUUUCCCCUUUUUUGCACCGUCUCUCCCUCCAUCUCUCAUUCUCUUUCUCACACUCAUUCUCUCGCUCCAUCCCCCACUCUCUUUCUACAUCGCUCUAUACUUUUCUCUCCUUCUGUCUCUCUCUCUCACAUGUUUCUCUUUCAUUCUGUCUCACUUUUCUUCUUUUUCUAGCUCCGCUUUGUCUAUCUCUUUUUCUCUCCUCUUCUUUUUAUACCUCUCAUUUUUUUCAUUUCCUAUGUCUAUUUGUCUCCCUCUCUUUCUGUUUCCCAUUCUUUUUUACUCUCUCUCCCUCCUUCUCACUCUCUGUCUCUCUCAUUCUCUUUCACUAUUUCUUCCUUUCUCCCACUCUUUUUUACUCUCUCUCCCUCCUUCUCACUCUCUGUCUCUCUCAUUCUCCUUCACUGUUCCUUUCUCUUUUUUCUUUCUCUCCCUCUGUUUCCAUCUCCCAAUCUUUUUUGCUCUCUCUCCCAACUUCUUGCUCUAUAUUUCUCUCAUUUUCUUUCACUGUUUCUUUGUUUCUCUUCCUCUGUUUCUCUCUCUCUCGUUCUCACUCUCUGUCUCUCUCAUUCUCUUUCACGAUUUCUUCCUUUCUCCACUCUUUUUACUCUCUCUCCCACACUUCUCCCUCUCUGUCUCUCUCAUUCUCUUCACUGUUCCUUUCUCUUUUUCUCUCUCUCUUGUUUCUAUCUCCCACUCUUUUUUGCUCUCUCUCUCUCUCCCUCCUUCUCACUCUCUGUCUCUCUCAUUCUCUUUCACUUUUUCUUCCUUUCUCUCCCUCUGUUUCUGUCUCUCACUCUUUCUUGCUUUCUCUCCCUCUUUCUCACUCUCUGUGUCAUUCUCUUUCAGUGUUUCUUUCUUUCUCUCCCUCUGUUUCUGUCUCCCACUCUUUUUUCCUCUGUCUCCACCUUCUUACAUUUGGUCUCUUUCAUUCUCUUUCAUUAUUUCUUUCUUUCUCUCCCUCUCUUUCUCUCUCUCUCCGACUCUUUUUUACUCUCUCUCCCUCCUUCUCACCCUCUGUCUCUCUCAUUCUCUUUCACUCUUUCUUUGUCUCCCUGCUUCUCUCUCCCACUCUUCUUGCUCUCUCUCCCUCCUUCUCACUCUCUCUCUCUCUCUCUCAUUCUCUUUCACUGUUUCUUUCUUUCUCUCCCUCUAUUUCUCUCUCUCCCUCCUUCUCACUCUCUGUGUCUCUCAUUCUCUUUUAGUAUUUCUUCCUUUCUCUCUCUCUGUUUCUGUCUGUCUCCCACUCUUUUUUGCUCUCUCUCCCACCUUCUCCCUCUCUGUCUCUCUCAUUGUCCUUCACUGUUCCUUUCUCUUUUUUCUUUCUCUCCCUGUUUCUGUCUCUAUUCCACUCUUUUUGGCUCUCUCUCCCUCCUUCUCGCUCUCUGUCUCUCUCAUUCUAUUUCACUGUUCUCUCUCUUUUUUCUUUCUCUCCCUCUGUUUCUAUCUCCCACUCUUUUUUUUGCUCUCUCUCCCUCCUCACUCUGUCUCUCUUCUUUCAUCGUUUCUUUCUCUUUCUCUCCCUCUGUUUCUGUCUCCCACUCUUUUUUACUUUCUGUCCCUCCUCAGUCUCUUUCUCUCUCAUUCUCUUUAACUGUUUCUUUCUUUCUCUCCCUCUGUUCCUCUUUGUCACCCACUCUCUUUUGCUCUCUCCCUCCUUCUCACUCUCUGUUUCUCUCCUUCUCUUUCACUGUUUCCUUCUUUCUCUCCCACUGUUUCUCCAUCUCUCCCUCCUUGUCACUAUCUCUCUCAUUCUCUUUUACUGUUUCUUUCUUACUUUCCCUGUUUUUGACUGUCUCCCACUCUUUUUUGCUCUCUCUC
rnacentral:lncRNA from 1 species